CUUUGGGAGAAGUCAGGA
rnacentral:misc_RNA from 1 species